GCCGAGACUGGUCCAGUCAGUGGCUGAGACAGGAAACAAUGGAGGACAGGAAUCUGUUUCCACCUGGAGAAACUCCAUUCAUCCAACAGGCACAUCUCUCAUCAGAGACAGACUUGUUCCUGGUCUCCCAGGAAGACUUCACACCAGUGACAAACCCAAACUGCAAAACCUCCAGAACCCCACCACUCAGUCUGACAGCAGAGGAGGAACCAGCAGGAACACCUACCUCAGCUUCAGUCCACAGCAGAUCCCCAACAGUCCUGACAACGUCAGAGAACACCAACCAAACGGUCCCACUGCAGGGGGAGCUGGGUUAACUGGUGCUCACACAGACUCUAUUGGUUCCGGUGGUUCAGGCUCAGACCUGAGGAUCCACACCAGAUCGGACAGCGGUGGUUGGUAUGGAGCCAGCGUUCACCAAGGCAUCAUGAGAGGUCUACAGAUCAGCUGAUGAAGAACAGAACCUCCAGAGACCUGGUCUGCACACUCUGAUUCUGAAUAAAGCUUCAGUUUGACACU